CUAUAAUGCCCGCGCUUUGGUGCCGACAGGCGUAAACGGGAAUCCGGUGUAAAUCCGGAGCUGGCGCGCAGCGGUAAGAAGGAACGAAAGCGACACGGGGCUACCCAGGCACUGCCGCAAGGUGGGAAGCCGUCGCCGUAGGUGGGCAACAGCCCGCGCCUUUAAGCCCGAAUACCUGCCAAAGUGAACAGAAAGGC
rnacentral:ncRNA from 2 species